rnacentral:rRNA from 1 species
GGAGUUUGGACCGUGUCUCAGUUCCAAUGUGGGGGACCUUCCUCUCAGAACCCCUACUGAUCGUUGACUAGGUGGGCCGUUACCCCGCCUACUAUCUAAUCAGACGCAUCCCCAUCCCUUAGCGAUAAAUCUUUGGUCCUCGUUAGAUGUCUUCAAAGGACAACAUAGGGAAUUAAUCCGACUUUCGCCGGGCUGUGCCCUACUAAGGGGAAGGUUGGAUACGCGUUACUCACCCGUGCGCCGGUCGCCAUCAUCAGUGGCAAGCCACUGACAUGCUGCCCCUCGACUUGCAUGUGUUAAGCCUGUAGCUAGCGUUCAUCCUGAGCCAUGAUCAAAACUCU